CUCACUGAACAGAGAGAGCGCCUAUGGUUGUGGAUGGACAGAUCAAUAGUGUAGAGAAGAAAGUUCUCCUCAAAUUAAUCUAAAAUUCAAUGUAACACCAAUCAAAAGUCCAGAUGGAUUUCUUUUGUAGAACUCAGCAACUUCAUUCUAAAAUUUAUAAGGGAACAAAUAAAUGGACCAAUGGAUCAUAGUGAACAGUUCAAAAGAAGACCCAUGAAUUUAUGGAAAUGUGAAAUAUGACAAGGGUGGCAUCAUAAAUCGAUGGGACAAUGGAUGGUGAUACGGAAACUAGCUCACUAUAUGGAGCAAAGAAAACUGGACCUCUGCCUUGUGAUGAAGAUGAGCUCUAGAUGGAUUAAAAACCUAAACAGGAGAGGAGCAAUUCCCAGCAGGCCUGUUCCAGAGCGGCAAGUGUGAAAUGCAGCCUUCACGGUGGAUUACAGGCCUAAAGGAGGCCUGUCACCUCCAGGCGCGCAGGAGAGAGCGGGGUUAAUUCUGUUUCUCCCUGGGAGAAUUCCUUUCUGUGUCCAGCCCGUGGCCUG
rnacentral:lncRNA from 1 species